rnacentral:lncRNA from 1 species
CCUUCGGCCUACAAUGCCAUACUUGAAAGACCUGCUAGGCUAAAUGCCCUCAAAGCUAUAGUCUCGACCUACCACCUGUUGGUUCAGUUUUCGACCAAAAACAGAGUCGAGGAGAUGCACGGGGAUCAACAGCUCGCUCGGCAAUGCUUCCAGAUCUCUGCUCGAAGUAACGAAGCAAAGGACUCCCUGACAGCCGACAAGUUAGACCAGCG